CCAUUUUGUUACUUGAUUUGAGCAUCUUUACACCUAAAUUUGUAUCCUGAAGAGAGACCCAGAGUCAGUGCACACCAACCCAGAGACCCUGGGCCGUGCUACCCCACUUUGGUAUCACUUUAACCAGCUUUGUUGCCCUGAGGGGGCAGAGGUGCCCUCACAGCACCUGCCAGGGCACGGCCGGCUCCCCUCAGCAGCCAACAUGGCGGUGGAACCAGUCAGGGGCCCUGCCCUGCCCCUCACAGCCUCCCGGUAGCCCUGCACUGCUGAAUUUCACCUCCUGUCACAUAGUCCAUAUUAAAACAUACAUAUAUAUAUAUGAUAUAGGGGGAGAGAUUGCUCCCAGGCCCGGGAUUUGUGCGAGGUGAAGUCUGUGGGGUAUGGAGGCCCUGUUGUCCUGACAGGCAGGGACGGCUGUGAGAAGGAAGGCCUGAGGGAAAGAGAGACAUCUCGUUGUGGGAGCUCCAGGGCAAACUCCCUCUCCACAGGCGUAGGAACGAUGUUUCAAGGCAAGCUUAAACAGAAGAGACAGCAGAGCAAACACUCCAGCCCAUCCCAUCACUGGCUUCUGUGCAGGAUUAAACAGGACCAGAAUUCAGACCUCUCAUUGUAGUACCUUCUGGAAGCAGAGGACACAUCACCCAAACCAGAAACUUUAUCUCAGGCUUCAUUCAGACUUCACAGAAUCAGCAGCUUUUGCGACUGAGCAAAGCAAGCAGUACAUGCUGAGCUUUGAGGAGCCUCCCUGAUACCUGGAUGUUUACACUCAGGAUGUGCUUCCACGCUCUGCUGAACCAGAGGCAGUAUCGUUAGAAUUGAGCCACGCUGCAUUUGGGAUUUUUCUGGUUGCAGGGCAAAGGAGUCAAUAGUGACACAACAGGGAAAGCAUCCUGCAGACCUCUUAGGAGUCUGCAACAGCCACAGAGACUCCAGCACAAAAAAAACUCUGUGAUGAGACCGAUUUGAUUUCUGCUGAGUAGGACCUUAGGAGUGAGAUAACCAGCACAGCUCCAAAUGCAGAGCUUGGCUCUACAUUGGUCCCACUCCAGUCAUUUUUGUUUCACAUGGAAGGAACAGCUUAGCACUUCUGCUGCUAAGGGACAGAAAACUGUAAUAAAUGGUACAGAGAAUGGGGCUGAUCUGUGCUCCCACUGUUUGAACUUCUGAAAAAAAUUAUCUUUCAUUUAGAGCUCUAAGAACAGACUGUUUGUAUAAGUACAAUGCUGGCUUUUUCUCUUUUCCAUGGCAUGGAAUUCUUUUGCCAGGAUUGGCUCCUCUUCCUCCUUUAACAAAUCAUCACAAUUUCGGCAAGCACUUCAUUGACUGCCAGUGCAGAGCUACCAAUAAUUUGCCAGAAUUGAGACACUUUUGUGCUCCCGUUCUGCACAACUAAAUUAUCUCCUGCAUGCCCGGAUUUGUUCUGUUCCUGAUUACAUACUGGAGGCUCAAUCCUACCCUGAUACUGGGCUCUGUUUCUGGGCUUUUCAGAGAGUGAGCCAUCCCAAGGAUUUGGAAGUUAAGAUAGUGGGUGUAAGUUGAGGUUCAGUUGAGGACACACUGCUGUGCAUCUUGGAAAGGAAUUAGAGACUUGCACGAACGCUGUAAAUUAGAAAACAAAAGCACUUGUUCAUAAUUUAUCCAAGGCAUAUGUAAAAUUUUGUGAUUUCUGAUACAUCAGCUCCAAAAGCACUUUCUGCAGGAUGCUGCACCAACACAGAUUACAAGUGGUCCCUAUUUGAGCAGUUUGCAAAGUUAGUAUAAAACAAGAUGUGAGAGGUGCGAGCUAGACUGCAGAGAGAUCUUCUAGGAAUCAUUUUGGGGGUGAAUUGCAUGUACAGCCAGGAGAUGUUGCAUGAAGCUGAAAUGAAAUUGCUCACAUUAGCCUUAGUGCUUAGAUUCAAACAUGUAUUAACCUGGGAAAUAAUAUAAAUGCCAUUUGAAAGCCUAUUCUUGUAACAUUUCUGACCCACUUCAGGCUCCUUUUGGUAAUCUGGGAAGGGACCUUUGUUCCCAUGGCAGCCCAUAAUUUCCUGACUGAAACAGUUCGGCUGAGCUCUGAAUGACAGAGUCAGGCAUUUGGAUGCUUAUCUUGCUUCCAAGUGUUCCGAGGUUCCUCAUUUCUCACUUAUUGCACAAUGCCCCAAUCUCACUGGGAAGGUGAGAACUGGAUCAGAAAGAAAUAUAAUUGCCUUUUUUUAUUAGCUUAUGAUACAGUCCCGCCCUUCUGUGUUGCCAGCUUACCGAGUUAUUCACAAAUGAUGAUAUACAGAGAGGGAAUUAUAUAAUUAUCAGCCUAUAAUUACAGGUAUAUAGAUAUAUACAUCCCCCUGGAGGAGAGCUGGGCUUGGCACAUACCUGCUUGCAACGCUGAGUCUUUAGGGAAUUCAUGCCCAUUUUAAGUAGAAGAUUAUUUAUUUAUCAAAUGCUUGAGACAUUUUAUGAAAAACGAACCCAAAAGAAUCCUUUGAUUCUUUUUAAUAAUGUUCAUAAAGUAAGUAACUGAACAGAUCCAGGCAUGCAGGAGCAAACUCUCCUGUGCAGAGCGAAAGCAGAGACGUUUCUCAAUCGUGGUAAAUUAUUGGUAGCACGGCAUUGGCAGUCAAUGAGGAGUUUGCAGGAGCCACACUGAUUUGCUGAGGGAAGGGAAGAUGCUAGUCUUGGCACAGUGAUCAGAAGCCAACACUGAGAAAGCCAAGUCAGUGCUGUAUCCCCAGAGACACCUUUUUUUUUUUUUUUUUUGAAAGCUUCAGACAAGAAUUAGUUUAUCUUAUGAUGCUGCUUUAAUGCUGUAACCAUAGAUAAACCCUAUUGCCUUCCCACUCUGUUUCAGUGCCUCAUUUUGUCAUCGGGGCAGAUAGUGAUUCUCAGCUGAUAUAAAUCAGCAAAGCUCCACUGAUUUUUAACAAAGCUGUGCCAGCUUCUGCUAGCUGAGGGUCUGCCUGGAUAUUUCUCUAGCUGUAAAGCAAAGGAUCCAGCAGGCAAAGCUGAUGUUAAGUUGGGUAUUUUUUUUGGCUGGUUAUUCUUUGUUCUAUCUUGCAAAUGCUGCUCUCAUUCAUAACUGCUUGGAUGCUUUCGAGCCCGUGUGCAAGAAUUAUGGGGCCUGAUCUGGCUCCUACAAUGGUGCAAAUCUAGGGUAGCUCCAGUUAAAUCAAAAGCAUUACUCAGAGGUAUUGCUGUAAAAGCACUGUGCUUGUGCAGAGCAACUGAUCUGUAAAUCUCAUAAUGUGCCCAGGAUCUUUCCAAGAGUUUAUUUGCAAACAAACAAACAAAAAGAAUCAUCGUGGCUGAACAGACUGAUUCCAGCCCGUGGAAAACGGACUGAGCCUCUGCCAGAAAUAAACUGUAGACACUUGCUAAUUACAAUUUGUGGCCAGCUUACGAAGUUCAGCAAAGGAGAAAACUACCCUGUUCAGAUCCUCUCCCCCAGUUUGAUGACAUCAUUCACAUCAUUAUGUUGUGAUAUGCCAGAUGGGAAAAUUUGAGGUGGGGAUGAAGUGAAAAUCCCGGUUACACCUUUUCUCCAGGCUAUCUGCCUCUCCAUCAUUUUACAACAUCACAGAGAGUCUCAGACAGUUUGACUCUGCCAUCCCCAGCUGGUUUGGACCUUCCAGAUAAAGGCUGAACCCUUAAGAAUCGAUACAUGUUUCCACCAUGGUGACAGGUUAGGCUGCAUGUAGCUAACCUUACUUUAAUUAGUUUAUUUAAACUCACUAGUACUUUUAAAUGGAGAAGGGAGGUAAUGGUAUAAACUCUGUAAUUUCUAUUGCCUGGGAAAAAAAAAAAAUAAA